rnacentral:rRNA from 1 species
AAGCGAAAGAGUGAUCUGGAGCGAAACCCAAAAAAUAAGUCUCAGUUCGGAUUGAAGGCUGAAAUUCGCCUUCAUGAAGCUGGAAUUGCUAGUAAUGGCAGGUCAGCAUACUGCCGUGAAUACGUUCCCGGGCCUUGUACACACCGCCCGUCACACCAUGAGAGUUGGGAAUACCCGAAGCCUGUGAGCUAACUUUUAAGGGGCAGCAGUCGAAGGUAGAAUCAAUGAUUGGGGUGAAGUCGUAACAAGGUACC